rnacentral:antisense_RNA from 1 species
CGCUGACCAAGUGCCAGGCCUCACUGAAGCUGACCUCCGCGUUAACCCUGGACACAAGCCGAGCAGGAAGGAUAAUGCCGGCUUGACAACUCCACUGGUUUCUGCUCCCACUGGCCCUACCUCUGUUAGAGGUGUUUGCCAGGCACCCCAGGCGGUCACCAGCGGACAGCCGCUUUCCGCACACGUUCCCAGAUGGACUCACAGCAGUCCCCGCCAGCCAUGACGCUGAGAUGGGUGUACACCCAGCUCUGGAGGAACCCAACCGCCUGUGGUCUCUCCACAACGGCUGCAAAAUACUGCUUCAGUUUUGAUUCUUUCAUGGAGGAAGACGUAACUUCAAGUUAAAAGCAGCAGGCGCACCGCUCACCCCUGGACGCUGAGGCUAGACACUGGGUGGAAACCGGUUCCUUCCGGCCCCCGGGCCCUGCACCAGAGCUCGACCCCCACCGCCUCACCUGUCCUGAUGGCGUCCUCCAGCCUGGGGUUUCUCUCUCCCUGGAGAAGCUGGUGGUAGUAGCCGGGAUUCUGGUCCAUCUGAGCCUGGGCCCCACUCAGCACCAUCCAGACGCGGGCACGGUGCUCCAGCGGGACCCCUUUCCGGACAUAGCGCUUCACUGAAGGCCGAGAGGACGGACAGCGUGUGAGCUGGACCAGGGGCCUGCGGGGCCCACGCGUUCCUGCCACACUUUCCACUCUCACCAGUUCUCUUCUUAAAUCAAAUAUUAAAGGGACCCAGAACUUCGUCCAUCUCCACCAAAACUGGUACAUAUACUCCUUUAAAAAUUCUGCUCUCCUCUCCCUCUCAACAGAGCACGAACCAGACUGGCUACAGAACCGCCCCCACGCCCACUUCACCAUUCAAUGCAG